ACGCUGGCGGCAGGCCUAACACAUGCAAGUCGAGCGGUAGAGAGAAGCUUGCUUCUCUUGAGAGCGGCGGACGGGUGAGUAAUGCCUAGGAAUCUGCCUGGUAGUGGGGGAUAACGUUCGGAAACGGACGCUAAUACCGCAUACGUCCUACGGGAGAAAGCAGGGGACCUUCGGGCCUUGCGCUAUCAGAUGAGCCUAGGUCGGAUUAGCUAGUUGGUGAGGUAAUGGCUCACCAGGGCGACGAUCCGUAACUGGUCUGAGAGGAUGAUCAGUCACACUGGAACUGAGACACGGUCCAGACUCCUACGGGAGGCAGCAGUGGGGAAUAUUGGACAAUGGGCGAAAGCCUGGUCCAGCCAUGCCGCGUGUGUGAAGAAGGUCUUCGGAUUGUAAAGCACUUUAAGUUGGGAGGAAGGGCAGUUACCUAAUACGUGAUUGUUUUGACGUUACCGACAGAAUAAGCACCGGCUAACUCUGUGCCAGCAGCCGCGGUAAUACAGAGGGUGCAAGCGUUAAUCGGAAUUACUGGGCGUAAAGCGCGCGUAGGUGGUUUGUUAAGUUGGGUGUGAAAUCCCCGGGCUCAACCUGGGAACUGCAUUCAAAACUGACUGACUAGAGUAUGGUAGAGGGUGGUGGAAUUUCCUGUGUAGCGGUGAAAUGCGUAGAUAUAGGAAGGAACACCAGUGGCGAAGGCGACCACCUGGACUGAUACUGACACUGAGGUGCGAAAGCGUGGGGAGCAAAC
rnacentral:rRNA from 1 species